GCUCUAUUGAGGAUUACUGCCAUGCGUCCUUGUAUUAAAACACAAAGUUGGGCGACAGUAUGUGCUGUGAGGAGGAUGCUAAGUGGCUGCAGAGUGACAAAGACAGACUGGCUGAGUGGGCAAACAAAAGACAGCUACAAAGACUUAUGGAUUGUUUCGCCUUUACUGUGACCUCCAAGAAAUUGCGUUUCUGGAAGAGGGUAGCACAUCCCAUCGUUGAUCGUUUUAAAAAUCAUCCUCCUGGAAGUGGUCAGCAAAUUGUGCUGUCCUGGGUCCCCAGUGACUGAAAAUCUGCCUUUUAAUGCAAAAACCUGAUACAUGCACAGAGAAAGCAGUUACCAACUUUCACUGAUGAAAUAUACAUGUAAUAACAUUGCAACAUCAUCGGCGGAGCCUCGAAUGAAGCGAUGUUGUUCUACUCUGCUUGAAAUUUAUACUGUCCCAGUCCGUUAUGGUGAGUACUAUCAUAAUGUCAGUACUCACUAUAACAGACCAGACAGUAUAAAUUCCAAGCGGAGUAGAAUAACAAUUUCAAUUUCAUCGGCGGCCUCACUGAUGUCACCCAGCACAGCGACGAAACGUUGCAGCAAGUCAACAAAUCUCACCCACAACAUGAGCUACAAAUCUUUGCUGAAACUUUAAAUAAUAGGGUUCAAAAAGCCCAAUAAGUGGGCAAAGACUCAUUCCAUGUUGGAAUUACAAUAGUCUCCAUACUGGUAGGGGCUACAUUGAACAUAUCCAAGGUAUUUGCAAAUGAAGCAAAGUGUGAUUUUGAGGGUUCUUUUACAGAUUCCACACCCCCCCACCCCCAACCUGAUACGUUCACAACAGACAGUGCACACAUUUCGCUUGGUAUUUCCCAGCACAGCCUAGUCUGUUGCCCCUAAAAGAACUGCUCCUGAAAAGAUGAAUGUUUAUUUGGAAUGGGAAGUAACAAGAGUAUUUCUCAUUGCAUUUAUAUAACAUCUUUAUCAUGAUUUAAAAAAAGCUUACAAAACAAGAGUUUUGCAGCGGAAUUCCUGAACAAAACUUAACACUUAGCUGCAGGAAAUUCUCAGCUAUUGAGUGUAACCUGUUCUACUUUAAUUUUGUGUACAAAGUAGUAAGUGAUGUCUUAUUGGAACAAAAUAAUUUUGUACACACUUUGUAUAUUUUAACUUUGCUUCAAAAAUUAGUUUUCACAAAUCACUUGUGGUGGGGGGAGAUAAAAGUGAUUUUUCAAAAUUAUUUUGCACAUUAUGGACAGUUUAUAACACCUUAAAUUAUGGAAAGCGAGGCUCUGAAUAUGUCAAUGGAGAAAUGCCAGAGUCAC